AGUGAACGCUGGCGGUAGGCCUAACACAUGCAAGUCGAACGGCAGCACAGUAAGAGCUUGCUCUUACGGGUGGCGAGUGGCGGACGGGUGAGGAAUACAUCGGAAUCUACUUUUUCGUGGGGGAUAACGUAGGGAAACUUACGCUAAUACCGCAUACGACCUACGGGUGAAAGCAGGGGAUCUUCGGACCUUGCGCGAUUGAUUGAGCCGAUGUCGGAUUAGCUAGUUGGCGGGGUAAAGGCCCACCAAGGCGACGAUCCGUAGCUGGUCUGAGAGGAUGAUCAGCCACACUGGAACUGAGACACGGUCCAGACUCCUACGGGAGGCAGCAGUGGGGAAUAUUGGACAAUGGGCGCAAGCCUGAUCCAGCCAUACCGCGUGGGUGAAGAAGGCCUUCGGGUUGUAAAGCCCUUUUGUUGGGAAAGAAAAGCAGCAGGUUAAUACCCCGCUGUUCUGACGGUACCCAAAGAAUAAGCACCGGCUAACUUCGU
rnacentral:rRNA from 1 species